GACGAACGCUGGCGGCGUGCCUAAUACAUGCAAGUCGAACGCUUUUUCUUUCACCGGAGCUUGCUCCACCGAAAGAAAAAGAGUGGCGAACGGGUGAGUAACACGUGGGUUACCUGCCCAUCAGAAGGGGAUAACCCUUGGAAACAGGUGCUAAUACCGUAUAACACUAUUUUCCGCAUGGAAGAAAGUUGAAAGGCGCUUUUGCGUCACUGAUGGAUGGACCCGCGGUGCAUUAGCUAGUUGGUGAGGUAACGGCUCACAAAGGCAACGAUGCAUAGCCGACCUGAGAGGGUGAUCGGCCACAUUGGGACUGCGACACGGCCCAGACUCCUACGGGAGGCAGCAGUAGGGAAUCUUCGGCAAUGGACGAAAGUCUGACCGGGCAACGCCGCGUGAGUGAAGAAGGUUUUCGGAUCGUAAAACUCUGUUGUUAGAGAAGAACAAGGAUGAGAGUAAAAUGUUCAUCCCUUGACGGUAUCUAACCAGAAAGCCACGGCUAACUACGUGCCAGCCGCCGCAGUAA
rnacentral:rRNA from 1 species